UACGUAGGGGGCUAGCGUUGUCCGGAAUCAUUGGGCGUAAAGAGCGCGUAGGCGGCUAGAUAAGUCCGGUGUGAAAGUCACAGGCUCAACCUGUGAAUGCCGCUGGAAACUGUCUGGCUAGAGUCCGGAAGGGGCGAGUGGAAUUCCUGGUGUAGCGGUGAAAUGCGCAGAUAUCGGGAGGAACACCAGCGGCGAAGGCGGCACUCUGGGCUGGUACUGACGCUCAGGAGCGAAAGCGUGGGUAGCGAACAGG
rnacentral:rRNA from 1 species